GUGAGGAAUAUUGCGCAAUGCCCGAAAGGGUGACGCAGCGACGCCGCGUGGAGGAUGAAGGCCCUCUGGGUCGUAAACUCCUUUGGUAGGGGAAUAACAGGUCGCUACAGGCGGCCGUGAAUGUACCCUAAGAACAAGCAUCGGCUAACUACGUGCCAGCAGCCGCGGUAAUACGUAGGAUGCGAGCGUUGUCCGGAUUUACUGGGUGUAAAGGGAGCGCAGGCGGAUCUGUAAGUCGGUGGUGAAAUCCUCAGGCUCAACCUGGGAACUGCCACCGAAACUGCUGAUCUUGAGUGUGGAAGAGGUCGAUGGAAUUCCUGGUGUAGCAGUGAAAUGCGUAGAUAUCAGGAAGAACACCGAUGGCGAAGGCAGUCGACUGGUCCACAACUGACGCUCAUGCUCGAAAGCGUGGGGAUCAAACAGGAUUAGAUACCCUGGUAGUCC
rnacentral:rRNA from 1 species